rnacentral:rRNA from 1 species
CCGCCGCGGUAAUACAGAGGGUGCGAGCGUUAAUCGGAUUUACUGGGCGUAAAGCGUGCGUAGGCGGCUUCUUAAGUCGGAUGUGAAAUCCCUGAGCUUAACUUAGGAAUUGCAUUCGAUACUGGGAAGCUAGAGUAUGGGAGAGGAUGGUAGAAUUCCAGGUGUAGCGGUGAAAUGCGUAGAGAUCUGGAGGAAUACCGAUGGCGAAGGCAGCCAUCUGGCCUAAUACUGACGCUGAGGUACGAAAGCAUGGGGAGCAAACAGGAUUAGAUACCCCCGUAGUCCCUGUCUCUUAUACACA